UAAGACCGUGUCCACCCUGCGAGCACAGAGCCUUGCCCUUGCCGUUCCGCCGCCCAUCCACACCCGCCGCCAGCUCACCAUGGAUGAUGAUAUCGCUGCACUUGUUGUCGACAACAGCUCCCGCAUGUGCAAGGCCAGCUUCGUGGGCGACGAUGCUCCCCGGGCCGUCUUCCCUUCCAUCUUGGGGCACCCCAGGCACCAGGGCGUGAUGGUGAGCAUGGGUCAGAAGGACUCCUACGUGGGUGAUGAGGCCCAGAGUAAGAGAGGCAUCCUGACCCUGAAGUACCCCAUUGAGCACGGCAUUGUCACCAACUAGGACGACAUGGAGAAGAUCUGGCACCACACUUUCUACGAGCUGCAUGUGGCUCCUGAGGAGCACCCCAUGCUGCUUACUGAGGCACCCCUGAACCCCAAGGCCAACUGCGAGAAGAUGACCCAGAUCAUGUUUGAGACCUUCAACACCCCAGCCAGGUAUGUGGCCAUCCAGGCUGUGCUUUCCUUGUACGCCUCCGACCGUACCACUGGCAUUGUGAUGGACUCCACUAACGGGGUCACCCACAUUGUGCCCAUCUAUGAGGGGUAUGCCCUCCCCCACACCAUCCUGCAUCUGGACCUGGCUGGCCGGGACCUGACUGACUACCUCAUGAAGAUCCUCAACGAGCGCGGCUACAGCUUCACCACUACGGCUGAGUGGGAAAUCGUGUGUGACAUCAAGGAGAAGCUGUGCUACGUUGCCCUGGACUUCAAGCAGGAGAUGGCCACGGUGGCCUCCAGCUCCUCCCUGGAGAAGAACUAUGAGCUGCCUGAUGGUCAGGUCAUCACCAUCGGCAACAAGUGGUUCUGUUGCCCUGAGGCGCCCUUCUAGCCUUCUUUCCUGGGCAUGGAAUCUUGUGGCAUCCACGAAACUACUUUCAACUCCAUCAUGAAGUAUGAUGUGGACAUCCGCAAAGACCUGUAUGCCAACACAGUGCUGUCUGGCGGUACCACCAUGUACCCUGGCAUCGCUGGCAGGAUGCAGAAGGAGAUCACUGGCCUGGCACCCAGCACGAUGAAGAACAAGAUCAUUGCUCCUCCCAAGCACAAGUACUCCGUGUGGAUCGGUGGCUCCAACCUGGCCUUGCUGUCCACCUUCCAGCAGUUGUGGGUCAGCAAGCAGGAGUACGAUGAGUCUGGCCCCUCCAUCAUCCACCGCAAAUGCUUCUACGCGGACUGUGACUUAGUUGCGUUACACCCUUUCUUGAUAAAACCUAACUUGCGCAGAAAACAAGAUGAGAUUGGCAUGGCUUUAUUUUAUUUAUUUAUUUAUUUAUUUUGCUUGACUCAGGAUUUAAAAACUGGAACAGUGAAGGUGACAGCAGUCGGUUGGAGCGAGCAUCUCCCAGAGUUCUACAAUGUGGCUGAGGACUUG